rnacentral:rRNA from 1 species
GUGAAAUUGUUGAAAGGGAAACGCUUGAAGUCAGUCACGUUGACUUUGAAUCAGCUCUGCUUUUGCUGGGUGUACUUUCUUGUCAAUGGGUCAGCAUCAAUUUUGACCAUUGGAUAAAGUCAUUGGGAAUGUAGCAUCUUUAGAUGUGUUAUAGCCUGGUGAUGCAUACGGUGGUUGGGAUUGAGGAAUUCAGCACGCCACCAGGCCGGGUUUCGACCAUGUUCGUGCUUAGGAUGCUGGCAUAAUGGCUUUAACUGACCCGUCUUGAAACACGGACCAAGGAGUCUAACAUAUCUGCGAGUGUUUGGGUGGAAAACCCAUGUGCGUAAUGAAAGUGAAAGUUGAGAUCCCUUCUCAAGGGAGCAUCGAUGCCCGGACCAGACCUUUUGUGACGGAUCCGCAGUAGAGCAUGUAUGUUGGGACCCGAAAGAUGGUGAACUAUGCCUGAAUAGGGUGAAGCCAGAGGAAACUCUGGUGGAGGCUCGUAGUGAUUCUGACAUGCAAAUCGAUCGUCAAAUUUGGGUAUAGGGGCGAAAGACUAAUCGAACCAUCUAGUAGCUGGUUCCUGCCGAAGUUUCCCUCAGGAUAGCAGAAACUCAUAUCAGAUUUAUGUGGUAAAGCGAAUGAUUAGAGGCCUUGGGGUUGAAACAACCUUAACCUAUUCUCAAACUUUAAAUAUGUAAGAACGAGCCGUCUCUUGACUGGACUGGCUCGAUGAUUGAGAGUUUCUAGUGGGGCCUUUUU